rnacentral:misc_RNA from 1 species
GAAGAAGAAGAAGAAGAAGAGAGAAAAUCAACAUGUUGGUGAUAAAGAAAGAUUUGAAGAGGGACAAGUGUAGACUCAACAAAGAUGCAAGAAGAAGAGAGAAAACCCGAAAGAAACCCCAGGUGACGUAAACGAGGGAGGCGUCAAAUGGGGAGAUGAUAAAAGCUUUGAAUUUCAAUGAAAAUGUACUUUGAAACAAUUCUUUUAUGAAGAGAAUCUGGGCUAAGACUACGUAGUUGGUGAAUUUCUCUCUUCUUUAGAAGCCAUAGCGUAUGGUGGCUAAUAUAAAAAUGAAGGGGCUUUGAUAGGGUAGACUGCUCUGCACCAUGGUCCACGUUUCUGCAAAGAAAAUUGGAAGCUAGACCGGGGACUAUCAAGUAUCGACCACGACAAGAGCAGAGCUAACCACCCAUUAGACACACCGAUUUGCUGUAAUGUGAAUCGAGGCCUAUAUUAAUCUUGGUUGAUUUGAAGUGAAUGAAGAACACUAGAAGUUGUAAACACUAUGCCAAAG